rnacentral:rRNA from 1 species
GUACACAAAAAUGCACAUAUUGUGAGCUCGAUGAGUAGGGCGGGACACGUGGUAUCCUGUCUGAAUAUGGGGGGACCAUCCUCCAAGGCUAAAUACUCCUGACUGACCGAUAGUGAACCAGUACCGUGAGGGAAAGGCGAAAAGAACCCCGGCGAGGGGAGUGAAAAAGAACCUGAAACCGUGUACGUACAAGCAGUGGGAGCCUCUUAAUGGGGUGACUGCGUACCUUUUGUAUAAUGGGUCAGCGACUUAUAUUCUGUAGCAAGGUUAACCGAAUAGGGGAGCCGAAGGGAAACCGAGUCUUAACUGGGCGUUAAGUUGCAGGGUAUAGACCCGAAACCCGGUGAUCUAGCCAUGGGCAGGUUGAAGGUUGGGUAACACUAACUGGAGGACCGAACCGACUAAUGUUGAAAAAUUAGCGGAUGACUUGUGGCUGGGGGUGAAAGGCCAAUCAAACCGGGAGAUAGCUGGUUCUCCCCGAAAGCUAUUUAGGUAGCGCCUCGUGAAUUCAUCUCCGGGGGUAGAGCACUGUUUCGGCAAGGGGGUCAUCCCGACUUACCAACCCGAUGCAAACUGCGAAUACCGGAGAAUGUUAUCACGGGAGACACACGGCGGGUGCUAACGUCCGUCGUGAAGAGGGAAACAACCCAGACCGCCAGCUAAGGUCCCAAAGUCAUGGUUAAGUGGGAAACGAUGUGGGAAGGCCCAGACAGCCAGGAUGUUGGCUUAGAAGCAGCCAUCAUUUAAAGAAAGCGUAAUAGCUCACUGGUCGAGUCGGCCUGCGCGGAAGAUGUAACGGGGCUAAACCAUGCACCGAAGCUGCGGCAGCGACACUAUGUGUUGUUGGGUAGGGGAGCGUUCUGUAAGCCUGUGAAGGUGGCCUGUGAGGGUUGCUGGAGGUAUCAGAAGUGCGAAUGCUGACAUAAGUAACGAUAAAGCGGGUGAAAAGCCCGCUCGCCGGAAGACCAAGGGUUCCUGUCCAACGUUAAUCGGGGCAGGGUGAGUCGACCCCUAAGGCGAGGCCGAAAGGCGUAGUCGAUGGGAAACAGGUUAAUAUUCCUGUACUUGGUGUUACUGCGAAGGGGGGACGGAGAAGGCUAUGUUGGCCGGGCGACGGUUGUCCCGGUUUAAGCGUGUAGGCUGGUUUUCCAGGCAAAUCCGGAAAACCAAGGCUGAGGCGUGAUGACGAGGCACUACGGUGCUGAAGCGACAAAUGCCCUGCUUCCAGGAAAAGCCUCUAAGCAUCAGGUAACAUCAAAUCGUACCCCAAACCGACACAGGUGGUCAGGUAGAGAAUACCAAGGCGCUUGAGAGAACUCGGGUGAAGGAACUAGGCAAAAUGGUGCCGUAACUUCGGGAGAAGGCACGCUGAUAUGUAGGUGAAGCGACUUGCUCGUGGAGCUGAAAUCAGUCGAAGAUACCAGCUGGCUGCAACUGUUUAUUAAAAACACAGCACUGUGCAAACACGAAAGUGGACGUAUACGGUGUGACGCCUGCCCGGUGCCGGAAGGUUAAUUGAUGGGGUUAGCGGUAACGCGAAGCUCUUGAUCGAAGCCCCGGUAAACGGCGGCCGUAACUAUAACGGUCCUAAGGUAGCGAAAUUCCUUGUCGGGUAAGUUCCGACCUGCACGAAUGGCGUAAUGAUGGCCAGGCUGUCUCCACCCGAGACUCAGUGAAAUUGAACUCGCUGUGAAGAUGCAGUGUACCCGCGGCAAGACGGAAAGACCCCGUGAACCUUUACUAUAGCUUGACACUGAACAUUGAGCCUUGAUGUGUAGGAUAGGUGGGAGGCUUUGAAGUGUGGACGCCAGUCUGCAUGGAGCCGACCUUGAAAUACCACCCUUUAAUGUUUGAUGUUCUAACGUGGGCCCCUAAUCGGGGUUGCGGACAGUGUCUGGUGGGUAGUUUGACUGGGGCGGUCUCCUCCUAAAGAGUAACGGAGGAGCACGAAGGUUGGCUAAUCCUGGUCGGACAUCAGGAGGUUAGUGCAAUGGCAUAAGCCAGCUUGACUGCGAGCGUGACGGCGCGAGCAGGUGCGAAAGCAGGUCAUAGUGAUCCGGUGGUUCUGAAUGGAAGGGCCAUCGCUCAACGGAUAAAAGGUACUCCGGGGAUAACAGGCUGAUACCGCCCAAGAGUUCAUAUCGACGGCGGUGUUUGGCACCUCGAUGUCGGCUCAUCACAUCCUGGGGCUGAAGUAGGUCCCAAGGGUAUGGCUGUUCGCCAUUUAAAGUGGUACGCGAGCUGGGUUUAGAACGUCGUGAGACAGUUCGGUCCCUAUCUGCCGUGGGCGCUGGAGAACUGAGGGGGGCUGCUCCUAGUACGAGAGGACCGGAGUGGACGCAUCACUGGUGUUCGGGUUGUCAUGCCAAUGGCACUGCCCGGUAGCUAAAUGCGGAAGAGAUAAGUGCUGAAAGCAUCUAAGCACGAAACUUGCCCCGAGAUGAGUUCUCCCUGAGACUUAGAGUCUCCUGAAGGAACGUUGAAGACGACGACGUUGAUAGGCCGGGUGUGUAAGCGCAGCGAUGCGUUGAGCUAACCGGUACUAAUGAACCGUGAGGCUUAACCUUACAACGCCGAAG